GAUGAACGCUGGCGGCGUGCCUAAUACAUGCAAGUCGAGCGAACGGACGAGAAGCUUGCUUUUCUGAUGUUAGCGGCGGACGGGUGAGUAACACGUGGAUAACCUACCUAUAAGACUGGGAUAACUUCGGGAAACCGGAGCUAAUACCGGAUAAUAUUUUGAACCGCAUGGUUCAAAAGUGAAAGACGGUCUUGCUGUCACUUAUAGAUGGAUCCGCGCUGCAUUAGCUAGUUGGUAAGGUAACGGCUUACCAAGGCAACGAUGCAUAGCCGACCUGAGAGGGGGAUCGGCCACACUGAAAUUAGAACACGGUCCAAACCCCAACGGAGGGCAGCAGUAGGAAUUUUUCCGCAAUGGGGGAAAGCCUGACGGAGCACGCCGCGUGAGUGAUGAAGGUCUUCGGAUCGUAAAACUCUGUUAUUAGGGAAGAACAUAUGUGUAAGUAACUGUGCACAUCUUGACGGUACCUAAUCAGAAAGCCACGGCUAACUACGUG
rnacentral:rRNA from 1 species